UGGGGAAUAUUGGACAAUGGGCGGAAGCCUGAUCCAGCCAUGCCGCGUGUGUGAAGAAGGCCUUUUGGUUGUAAAGCACUUUAAGCGAGGAGGAGGCUACUUGGAUUAAUACUCUAGGAUAGUGGACGUUACUCGCAGAAUAAGCACCGGCUAACUCUGUGCCAGCAGCCGCGGUAAUACAGAGGGUGCGAGCGUUAAUCGGAUUUACUGGGCGUAAAGCGUGCGUAGGCGGCUUCUUAAGUCGGAUGUGAAAUCCCUGAGCUUAACUUAGGAAUUGCAUUCGAUACUGGGAAGCUAGAGUAUGGGAGAGGAUGGUAGAAUUCCAGGUGUAGCGGUGAAAUGCGUAGAGAUCUGGAGGAAUACCGAUGGCGAAGGCAGCCAUCUGGCCUAAUACUGACGCUGGGGUACGAAAGCAUGGGGAGCAAACAGG
rnacentral:rRNA from 1 species